rnacentral:rRNA from 1 species
UACGAAGGGGGCUAGCGUUGUUCGGAAUUACUGGGCGUAAAGCGCACGUAGGCGGACUAUUAAGUCAGGGGUGAAAUCCCGGGGCUCAACCCCGGAACUGCCUUUGAUACUGGUAGUCUUGAGUCCGGAAGAGGUGAGUGGAAUUCCGAGUGUAGAGGUGAAAUUCGUAGAUAUUCGCAAGAACACCAGUGGCGAAGGCGGCUCACUGGCCCGAUACUGACGCUGAGGCACGAAAGCGUGGGGAGCAAACAGG